GACGAACGCUGGCGGCGUGCUUAACACAUGCAAGUCGAGCGGUAAGGCCCUUUCGGGGGUACACGAGCGGCGAACGGGUGAGUAACACGUGGGUGACCUGCCCUCAGCUCUGGGAUAAGCCUGGGAAACCGGGUCUAAUACUGGAUAUGACUCCAUGACGCAUGUUGUGGGGUGGAAAGCCUUGUGCGGCUGAGGAUGGGCCCGCGGCCUAUU
rnacentral:rRNA from 1 species